GUGCUUACUUCAGCAGCACAUAUACUAUAAUUGGAAUGACACAGAGAACAUUAGCAUGGCCCUUGAGCAAGGAUGACAUGCAAAUUUAUGCAGUGUUCCAUAUAAAA